rnacentral:rRNA from 1 species
GAUGAACGCUAGCUACAGGCUUAACACAUGCAAGUCGAGGGACCGGCGCACGGGAGAGUAACACGUAUCCAACCUGCCCUUUACUCGGGGAUAGCCUUUCGAAAGAAAGAUUAAUACCCGAUGUAAAGGAUGGGGAUGCGAUCCAUUAGGUUGUUGGUGAGGUAACGGCUAACCAAGCCUUCGAUGGAUAGGGGAUCUGAGAGGAAGGUCCCCCACAUUGGAGCUGAGACACGGUCCAAACUCCUACGGGAGGCAGCAGUGAGUAAUAGUGGUCAAUGGGCGUUAGCCUGACCCAGCCAAGUAGAGUGAAGGAUGAAGGGUUAUGGGUCGUAAACUUCUUUUAUAUAAGAAUAUGUAUUAUAUGAAUAAGGAUCGGCUAACUCCGUGCCAGCCGCCGCGGUAAUUC